CAUCAACAGAAAAUUGGAUUAAAGGUUUACUGAACAUCCCCCUGCCCAUCAGAAUAAGACCCAGUUUCCUCCUCAGUAAGUCUCCCCAUCAGGAAGCUUUUAUAAGUCUCUUAUAGCAAACACCCUCUUCCAACAACACAAGAGAAGACUCUACACAUGGACAUCACCAGAUGGUAAACACUGAAAUCAGAUUAAUUAUAUUUUUUGCAGCCAAAGAUGGAGAAGCUCUAUACAGUAAGCAAAAACCAAGACCAGGAGCUGACUGUGGCUCAGAUCAUGAACUCCUUAUUGCCAAAUUCAGACUGAAAUUGAAGAAAGUAGGGGAAACCACUAGACCAUUCAGUGUGCUCUAGUUAAAUUGGUGUUUUUGAAAGAAGACCCAACAGAUUUUAAAUAAAUGCUAUAUGCAAACAGAUUUCUGUAGAUAAAUGUAUCUUGAAAAAUAUACAGGACUUCAUUGCAGGACUUCUCAGAGCCUUUAAUAGC
ensembl:lncRNA